rnacentral:rRNA from 1 species
AGAGUUUGAUCCUGGCUCAGGACGAACGCUGGCGGCGUGGAUUAGGCAUGCAAGUCGAACGGUAUGGUACCUUCGGGUGUCAGAGAGUGGCGAACGGGUGAGUAACACGUAGGUUAUCUACCCUCAAGAUCGGGACAACCCAGGGAAACUUGGGCUAAUACCGGAUGUGAGCGUCCUUUUUGGAUGUUUGAAAGGUGGCUUUUAGCUGUCGCUUGAGGAUGAGCCUGCGUCCUAUUAGUUAGUUGGUGAGGUAAUGGCUCCCCAAGGCUAUGAUAGGUAGGCGGCCUUAACGGGUGGUCGCCCACACUGGGAUUGAGAUACGGCCCAGACUCCUACGGGAGGCAGCAGUCGAGAAUAGUCUACAAUGGCCGAAAGGCUGAUAGUGCGACGCCGCGUGAACGAGGAAGCCCUUCGGGGUGUAAAGUUCUUUUAUAUGUGAGCAGUGCCGGUCAUAUUAAUAGUAUGACUGGAGCGAUAUUAGCAUAUGAAUAAGCAACGGCUAACUCCGUGCCAGCAGCCGCGGUAACACGGGGGUUGCGAGCGUUGUCCGGAAUUACUAGGCGUAAAGGGCAGGCAGGCGGACCUGCAAGUUUUCUGUUAAAGACGUCAGCUCAACUGGCGCACGGCAGGAGAUACUGCAGAUCUUGAAUGCGGUUGGGGAAGACAGAAUUCCUGGUGUAGCGGUGGAAUGCGCAGAGAUCAGGAGGAAUACCAAAGGCGAAGGCAGUCUUCCAAGCCGUUAUUGACGCUCAACUGCGAAGGUGUGGGUAUCAAACAGGAUUAGAUACCCUGGUAGUCCACACAGUAAACGA